AAAACUUUUCAAAAAAAAAAAAAAAAAAAAAAAAAAUCUGUUCUUAUCAGUUUAAUAUCUGAUACGUCCCCUAUCUGGGGACCAUAUAUUAAAUUGAUUUUUGGAAUAGGGAGAUGGAAUAGGGGCUUGCUCCGUCCACUCCACGCAUCGACCUGGUAUUGCAGUACCUCCAGGAACGGUGCACCCCCU
rnacentral:snRNA from 1 species